CUCCGCCUUGAAAUGUAUGUUUCUGAAGACCCCAAAGAAGCCCAUGACAUGUUCACAUGAACAGUAAGAUUUGAGGGCGAGAUGAGUGGGAGAGAAAGGACGAGAAAGUAUAGAGACCGAAUCAACAGUGAUCCACAGAGAAGGGAGGCAAUCCUUGCAGAGCGACGGAGAAAAUAUCAACAAAGGAAGGCUGAAGGAAAACUGUCUCAUCUCAUCUCAUUAUCUGUAGCCGCUUUAUCCUGUUCUACAGGGUCGCAGGCAAGCUGGAGCCUAUCCCAGCUGAC